ACAGGAUGGCAAAACUCAUAGGGUCUUCUUUCGAUGACCGACGCUAUGAUUCAAACGUUUUGUGAGCUGA
rnacentral:snoRNA from 1 species